UAAGGCGAUUGAUAGCGUUGGGGUCCCACCUCUUCCCAUCCCGAACAGAGAAGUUAAGCCCAACAGCGCCGAUGGUACUGCAAAUGUUUGUGGGAGAGUAGGUCAUCGCCACUU
rnacentral:rRNA from 1 species